rnacentral:rRNA from 1 species
CGAGUGGCGGACGGGUGAGUAAUGUCUGGGAAACUGCCCGAUGGAGGGGGAUAACUACUGGAAACGGUAGCUAAUACCGCAUAACGUCGCAAGACCAAAGAGGGGGACCUUCGGGCCUCUUGCCAUCGGAUGUGCCCAGAUGGGAUUAGCUAGUAGGUGGGGUAACGGCUCACCCAGGCGACGAUCCCUAGCUGGUCUGAGAGGAUGACCAGCCACACUGGAACUGAGACACGGUCCAG